rnacentral:lncRNA from 1 species
AACUCAGUUUCAUUCAAACCUGGCAGUUAGGCCCCUAGUUGGCCUGGAGCCAGCUGCAGUUAGGAAGGGACCAGAAGGAAGGGAGAGGAAGAAGGCAGGUAUGCCCAGAGAAGCUGAAGAACCCGAGAUAUAUCUGGCGCUGCUCCGUCUCUGGUAGCUUUGAGGCCCAGGGCCAGGUCUGAGGCACCCUCAGCUUUGUUCUCGAGAGAAUCCAGGGCUCUUGCUUCUGAAAAGAACACGCCACAUCCCAGUGCUCUAAGGGCCCCGUCGGAGAUCUUUUCUCAUGUGCUCAUGACUUCUCAGAGAUCCUGUUCCUGGAAAAGCAAGACAGUCACCUAGGAGGAGUGACAUAGGGUCUUGAAAUGACUCCUCUUCCAAGCAGAAAGGGCAUGAGAAACGUUGGAACCUCGAGGUAGAGAAGCUGUGCUCUGGGCAGAAAGGAAAGCCUCCCAGAGGAGCUGUCACUGAGCAGAAGCUUGAUGGGCAGGGAGAAGAGGAAAGGAGUGGGCAGGCAGAGGCUGGAUGUCAGAGAAGGUUGCUGAGCCAUCUGGUCACCAGGACUCUCCUGAGUCUGAUUUGUGGCUGUGCAGAAGCUCAGGGGACAGGUGGCAGAGGCUGACAAAGUGGGUGACCCCACCCGAUGCCUGUCGAGCUGAGUGGGGUGACUUGCUUCCAGUUGGUCCGAGGCCGCACUUCUCCACCCCUUCCUUCCACCUCCACCUUCUGCAGCAUUAAAGCGCACUGCUUGCCCAUGGGUGACACUGGGGGGACAUCUCUGGAUUCCAUCACGUCAGUCGCUGUCCAGGCAGUCGGGCACAUUUCCCGUAUUCUUUAGCUACGGCAAUGUCAGGUGCUUCUGGCAAGGUGGAGGCGUUGAGAAAAAUGAACAAGAUCUUUACAUUUUUGGUUUUUUAACUGGAGAACAAGGAUUUGAAAAAUUAGCUCAGUUGCUGUCUCAAGGUCAGUCACACCAUAGUCUUAAGGGCUGACCUCCCAAAAAAUGCUUCCCCAAAACACCCCCAUCCUGUGUGCAGCCAUACCAUCUACCACCCCUGGGCUUUAACGGCUCCCUUUGCUGCCAGAGAAAAUGCCACCCCACUUCUGGUACCCCCUGAGGUGGUGACAGCAGCUUGAUCUGGGAAGAGCGCAGUCCCUCAGAUGGACCUGAGUGGCACAUGGCCCAGCUGAGAGAGUUCCACACUCGGGAGUCAGCUCCAGGUCUGCCUGAGGUUCUGGC